UUAAACAAUCUUUAAUGUAAAAUUUCAAUAGUGAACAAUGUGAAUAAAUAAAUUUAUUCUGUAAACCGUUGGUAGAUAAGCUAUUACCUUAAAAAUGUACAGAAUUCACAAUAUAGUAUUAUCCACAAAGCAUGAGAUUUCAGAGACAACUGUGUUAAACAACUUGUUUCAUGUUAAGACGCACCUCGGUAGUAUGAGUUGGAUUUAACUGUAGUAUUUUCAAAAAGCAAAAUAAAUUUUGAAUCUGU